rnacentral:rRNA from 1 species
GAUGAACGCUAGCUACAGGCUUAACACAUGCAAGUCGAGGGGAAACGACAUUGAAAGCUUGCUUUUGAUGGGCGUCGACCGGCGCACGGGUGAGUAACGCGUAUCCAACCUGCCCACCACUUGGGGAUAACCUUGCGAAAGUAAGACUAAUACCCAAUGAUAUCUCUAGAAGACAUCUGAACGGGAUUAAAGAUUUAUCGGUGAUGGAUGUGGAUGCGUCUGAUUAGCUUGUUGGCGGGGUAACGGCUCACCAAGGCGACGAUCAGUAGGGGUUCUGAGAGGAAGGUCCCCCACAUUGGAACUGAGACACGGUCCAAACUCCUACGGGAGGCAGCAGUGAGGAAUAUUGGUCAAUGGACGAGAGUCUGAACCAGCCAAGUAGCGUGCAGGAUGACGGCCCUAUGGGUUGUAAACUGCUUUUAUAAGGGAAUAAAGUGAGUCUCGUGAGACUUUUUGCAUGUACCUUAUGAAUAAGGACCGGCUAAUUCCGUGCCAGCCGCCGCCGUAA